UACGUAGGGUGCAAGCGUUGUCCGGAAUUAUUGGGUUUAAAGGGUGCGUAGGUGGGCAAGUAAGUCAGUGGUGAAAUCUCCGGGCUUAACCCGGAAACUGCCAUUGAUACUAUUUGUCUUGAAUACUGUGGAGGUCAGCGGAAUAUGUCAUGUAGCGGUGAAACGCUUAGAUAUGACAUAGAACACCAAUUGCGAAGGCAGCUGGCUACACAAAUAUUGACACUGAGGCACGAAAGCGUGGGGAUCAAACAGG
rnacentral:rRNA from 1 species